rnacentral:rRNA from 1 species
UCAGGCCUAACACAUGCAAGUCGAAGGGGAAGCAAGGAGCUUGCUCUUUGUGGAGACUGCGGAUGGGUGAGUAACGCGUGGACAACCUGCCUAUGACAGGGGGAUAACUUCGGGAAAUCGGAGCUAAUACCCCAUGAUGCAGCGGCCCCGCAUGGGGACAGUUGUUAAAGCCUUCGGGCGGUUAUAGAUGGGUNUGCGUGCUAUUAGNUAGUUGGUAAGGUAACGNCUUACCAAGGCGAUGAUAGCUAGGGGGUCUGAGAGGAUGAUCCCCCACACUGGGANUGAGACACGGCCCAGACUCNUACGGGAGGCAGCAGUGAGGAAUCUUGCGCAAUGGAGGAAACUCUGACGCAGCCACGCCGCGUGCCGGAAGACGGCCCNGUUGUAAACGGCUUUUGUUUGGGAAGAACUGGUNGGUUUCGACCUACCUGACAGAA